rnacentral:rRNA from 1 species
UACGUAGGGGGCAAGCGUUGUCCGGAAUCAUUGGGCGUAAAGAGCGUGUAGGCGGCUUGGUAAGUCCGCUGUGAAAGUCCAGGGCUCAACCCUGGAAUGCCGGUGGAAACUGUCAAGCUUGAGUCCGGAAGAGGCGAGUGGAAUUCCUGGUGUAGCGGUGAAAUGCGCAGAUAUCAGGAGGAACACCAAUGGCGAAGGCAGCUCGCUGGGACGGUACUGACGCUGGAGACGCGAAAGCGUGGGGAGCAAACAGG